AGAGUUUGAUCAUGGCUCAGAUUGAACGCUGGCGGUCUGCUUAACACAUGCAAGUCGAACGGAAUCUUUCGGGAUUUAGUGGCGGACGGGUGAGUAACGCGUGAGAAUCUGCCUUCAGGUUCGGGACAACAGUUGGAAACGGCUGCUAAUACCGGAUGUGCCGAGAGGUGAAAGCUUAAGUGCCUGGAGAUGAGCUCGCGUCUGAUUAGCUAGUAGGAGUGGUAACGGCACCCCUAGGCGACGAUCAGUAGCUGGUCUGAGAGGAUGAUCAGCCACACUGGGACUGAGACACGGCCCAGACUCCUACGGGAGGCAGCAGUGGGGAAUUUUCCGCAAUGGGCGCAAGCCUGACGGAGCAAGACCGCGUGAGGGAAGAAGGUCUGUGGAUUGUAAACCUCUUUUGAUCGGGAAGAAGACAGUGACGGUACCGAUCGAAUCAGCCUCGGCUAACUCCGUGCCAGCAGCCGCGGUAAUACGGAGGAGGCAAGCGUUAUCCGGAAUUAUUGGGCGUAAAGAGUCCGUAGGUGGGUAACCAAGUCAGUUGUUAAAUAGUGAAGCUUAACUUCAUAGAGGCGACUGAAACUGGUUAUCUAGAGAGUGGUAGGGGUAGAGGGAAUUUCCAGUGUAGCGGUGAAAUGCGUAGAUAUUGGAAAGAACACCGGUGGCGAAAGCGCUCUACUGGGCCAUUACUGACACUGAGGGACGAAAGCUAGGGGAGCGAAAGGGAUUAGAUACCCCUGUAGUCCUAGCCGUAAACGAUGGAUACUAGGCGUUGCCCGUAUCGACCCGGGCAGUGUCGUAGCCAACG
rnacentral:rRNA from 1 species